AACGCACCUUGCGCUCUUUGGUAUUCCGAGGAGCAUGCCUGUUUGAGAGUCGUGAAAUUCUCAACCUAUCUAGCUUUUACAAGUUAAGUUAGGCUUGGAUUAUGGAGGUUGCUGGCUUCUCAGAAAUCAGCUCUUCUUAAAUGUAUUAGCAGAACCUUUGCCGAUUAUCUUUGGUGUGAUAAUUAUCUAUACCAUAGACAAUUGGUUUCCUUCAUUGGAGGGUUUCGCUUCUAAUCGUCUAUUCAGACAAUUUUGACAAUUUUGACCUCAAAUCAGGUAGGAUUACCCGCUGAACUUAA
rnacentral:misc_RNA from 1 species